GACGAACGCUGGCGGCGUGCUUAACACAUGCAAGUCGAACGGGUCUGCCCUGUUUUUUGCGGGGUGGGUCAGUGGCGAACGGGUGAGUAACACGUGAGUAACCUGCCCCUCACUUCUGGAUAACCGCUUGAAAGGGUGGCUAAUACGGGGUGUUCUGGCUGUGCCGCAUGGUGUGGCUGGGAAAGAUUCACUUUUGUGGUGUUUUGGUGGGGGAUGGGCUCGCGGCCUAUCAGCUUGUUGGUGGGGUGAUGGCCUGCCAAGGCUUUGACGGGUAGCCGGCCUGAGAGGGUGGGCGGUCACACUGGGACUGAGAUACGGCCCAGACUCCUGCGGGAGGAAGCAGUGGGGGGUAUUGCACAAUGGGCGGAAGCCUGAUGCAGCGACGUCGCGUGAGGGAUGGAGGCCUUCGGGUUGUGAACCUCUUUCGCCGGUGAAGAAGGUCCUGCUCUUUGUGGUGGGGUUGACGGUAGCCGGGUUAUGAAGCGCCGGCUAACUACGUG
rnacentral:rRNA from 1 species